CUCACCAAUGCCAUCAAGGAUGCACUCGCUGCAACGUAGCCCUCUGUUCUGCACACAGCACGGGGGCCAAGGAUGCCCCGUCCCCCUCUGGCUCCAGCUGGCCGGGAGCCUGAUCACCUGCCCUGCUGAGUCCCAGGCUGAGCCUCAGUCUCCCUCCCUUGGGGCCUAUGCAGAGGUCCACAACACACAGAUUUGAGCUCAGCCCUGGUGGGCAGAGAGGUAGGGAUGGGGCUGUGGGGAUAGUGAGGCAUCGCAAUGUAAGACUCGGGAUUAGUACACACUUGUUGAUUAAUGGAAAUGUUUACAGAUCCCCAAGCCUGGCAAGGGAAUUUCUUCAACUCCCUGCCCCCCAGCCCUCCUUAUCAAAGGACACCAUUUUGGCAAGCUCUAUCACCAAGGAGCCAAACAUCCUACAAGACACAGUGACCAUACUAAUUAUACCCCCUGCAAAGCCCAGCUUGAAACCUUCACUUAGGAACGUAAUCGUGUCCCCUAUCCUACUUCCCCUUCCUAAUUCCACAGCUGCUCAAUAAAGUACAAGAGCUUAA
rnacentral:lncRNA from 1 species